UCGAGAAUAUCCUGAGGCGCUCGAGUGAUCCGUGGCUAAGGAACUAGGCAAAUUAACCGCGUAACUUCGGAAUAAGCGGUACCCAUUUCGGUGGGUUUCAAUGAAAAGGCUCAGGCGACUGUUUAACAAAAACACAUGGCUUUGCGAAAUCGAAAGAUGACGUAUAAGGCCCGACACCUGCCCGGUGCUGGAAGGUUAAGAGGAGAGGUCAGCCGCAAGGCGAAGCUUUGAAUCGAAGCCCCAGUAAACGGCGGCCGUAACAAUAACGGUCCUAAGGUAGCGAAAUUCCUUGUCGGGUAAGUUCCGACCUGCACGAAUGGUGUAACGAUCUGAGCACUGUCUCGGCCACGAGCUCGGUGAAAUUGUAGUUUCGGUGAAGAUGCCGGAUACCCGCAACGGGACGGAAAGACCCCGUGCACCUUUACUAUAGCUUCACAUUGACAUCGGCUGCCCGAUGUGUAGGAUAGGUGGGAGACUUUGAAGUUGCGUCGCUAGGCGUGAUGGAGUCAACGUUGAAAUACCACCCUUCUGUCAUCUGAUGUCUAGUCCUUGCGAAACAAGGAAACAGUGUGUGGUGGGUAGUUUGACUGGGGUGGUCGCCUCCAAAAAAGUAUCGGAGGCUUCCAAAGGUACCCUCAGCACGCUUGGUAACCGUGCGACGAGUAUAUUGGCAUAAGGGUGCUUGACUGUGAGACCGACAAGUCGAACAGGUAGGAAACUAGGGCAAAGUGAUCCGGUGGUUCCGUAUGGAAGGGCCAUCGCACAUAGUAUAAAAGGUACGCCGGGGAUAACAGGCUGAUCAUUCCCAAGAGCUCAUAUCGACGGAAUGGUUUGGCACCUCGAUGUCGGUUCGUCACAUCCUGGGGCUGGAGAAGGUCCCAAGGGUUCGGCUGUUCGCCGAUUAAAGUGGCACGUGAACUGGGUUCAGAACGUCGUGAGACAGUUCGGUCCCUAUCUGUUGCGGGCGUUAGAAGUUUGAGGGGAGCUACCAUUAGUACGAGAGGACCGUGGUGGACGAACCGCUAGUGUACCAGUUGUCCCGCCAGAGGCACCGCUGGGUAGCUAUGUUCGGACGGGAUAAGCGCUGAAAGCAUCUAAGCACGGAGCCUACCUCAAGAUGAGACUUCUUCUAAGGGUCGUUGAAGAUUACAACGUUGAUAGGCUACAGGUGUAAAGUCAGCAAUGGCAAAGCCGAGUAGUACUAAUUACCC
rnacentral:rRNA from 1 species